UACGUAGGGUGCAAGCGUUAAUCGGAAUUACUGGGCGUAAAGCGUGCGCAGGCGGUUUUGUAAGUCAGAUGUGAAAUCCCCGGGCUUAACCUGGGAACUGCGUUUGAAACUACAAGGCUAGAGUGUGACAGAGGGGGGUGGAAUUCCGCGUGUAGCAGGUGAAAUGCGUAGAGGUGCGGAGGAACACCGAUGGCGAAGGCAGCCCCCUGGGUUGACACUGAC
rnacentral:rRNA from 1 species